rnacentral:rRNA from 1 species
UACAGAGGGUGCAAGCGUUGUUCGGAAUUACUGGGCGUAAAGCGAGUGUAGGCGGCCUAUUAAGUCAGAUGUGAAAUCCCUUGGCUCAACCGAGGAACUGCAUCUGAUACUGGUGGGCUUGAGUGUCGGAGGGGAUGGUAGAAUUCCUGGUGUAGAGGUGAAAAUUCGUAGAUAUCAGGAGAAUACCUGUGGCGAAGGCGACCAUCUGGAAGACAACUGACGCUGAGACUCGAAAGCGUGGGUAGCAAACAGG